rnacentral:lncRNA from 1 species
GGCGAACUGCCUGCCGAGCUGCUCAAAGGAGGAGACAGUACUCGGCUUCAGCCCGGUGAACCAAAGCCGGGCCGGUCCUCGGAGCGUUGCUGGAAAGGCUUUGCACAUCAUGGCCUCCGAGGCUCCUCGUAGGGCCAUUAAGACCCGGUAACUCUCCAGGUGGUCAAAGGGAUCUGCCUUGCCGUUGUAAGGCUCCACCUGGGGCAUCUUGAACCGGAGGGGAACCGGUUCAUCUUCAAUCUCCUGGGAGAAGGGCGACUUCGUAUUGAACUCGAAGUCGCCGUUACGUCCCGAUUUUCUCCCGUGGAGUGCCUGGAUUUGGCGCUCCAGCUUUUCCACCUUCUUGUCGAGUUCAUCGUUCUGG